rnacentral:rRNA from 1 species
CAGUAGCCGCGGUAAUACGUAGGGUGCAAGCGUUAAUCGGAAUUACUGGGCGUAAAGCGUGCGCAGGCGGUUAUAUAAGACAGAUGUGAAAUACCCGGGCUCAACCUGGGAACUGCAUUUGUGACUGUAUAGCUAGAGUACGGCAGAGGGGGAUGGAAUUCCGCGUGUAGCAGUGAAAUGCGUAGAUAUGCGGAGGAACACCGAUGGCGAAGGCAAUCCCCUGGGCCUGUACUGACGCUCAUGCACGAAAGCGUGGGGAGCAAACAGGAUUAGAUACCCGAGUAGUCCCUGUCUCUUAUAA